ACGCUCGACACCUACGGGAGGCAGCAGUGGGGAAUAUUGCACAAUGGAGGAAACUCUGAUGCAGCGAUGCCGCGUGAGGGAAGAAGGUUUUCGGAUUGUAAACCUCUGUCUUUGGGGACGAUAAUGACGGUACCCAAGGAGGAAGCUCCGGCUAACUACGUNCCAACAGCCGCGGUAAUCUGAGCGGGCUGGCAAGGC
rnacentral:rRNA from 1 species